CAUCUUGACAAUGAAGAUCUUGGCUCAUACAUCCUUGCGGGACUUGACGCCGACUACAAUCUUGUGGUGUCGGCAAUUUAGGCCAGAACAGAUGCAAUCUCCCUUGGUGAGAUGUUCACUCACUUGUCUUCCUUUGAAC